UUUCUUGUUUCUAUUUGAUUGACAGCGUUAUCAUGCAUACUUUAUGUAUGAGGUUGAUUCGUGGAGCAUCAUGUGUACAGGUUUGGUUCUUCUUCUUAACUCUAUAUUUCCAUUUUCUUGAUAGGUGAGUUUUGUAGUCCAUGUAAUGCAUACUGGGAAUAAUGUUAUGAGUUCACUGUUCAAAUGGAUUUUGUUUGUGACUAUUUUUAUCGACAGCAUUGCCCUGAAAAUCAUUUUUAUUUUAUUUUAAUUUACUUCAACUGUCGCGGUAAUUUCUGAUCACUAUAUGCUUAGCCACUGUAGUUUAAUUAAGUUUACUUAUAAUUUUUGUAGCAUAAACUGUUUCUUUAUAUGUAUUCUCAUACUAUUCAUGCAAUUUAACCCUCCCAGUUGACAUUCCCCAAAUAAAUCUAUGGAAAAUAAGCAAAGAAAGAUAUUGAAUAACCAAUUAAUUCUGUUGGCAUGGGUACAAAUUCUUAUUCUUGUCGUUAAAAGAUUAAGGUUGCUUUGCAUUAUAUGCUUCCCUAUAUUUACUUCAGAAUUCAAACAAAGCAAUGUCAAGGUCUUGUAACGAUCACAUUUUUUCUUGGUGGUUUGGGAGGAAAGAAGAUCUUGUGAAAUAUUUUUAGGUGUUUGCCUACCUACUGAUUAUGAUUGUCUUGGAUUUCCUUGUCAAGGACUAAGAAUUUGGUGGAUGUUGAGAAAAAUCUAUGGUGCUAAUUUAUAAAUCAACAAAGUUUUGAAUGUUGCCCCAAUAACAGAAGGGGCGUGCUACAAGAACAGGGGGCUGACCGCCCCCUGACCGAACCCCACAAAUAGGGGGGAGUGCCCACGUUUUUUUGCUGGCCCCACCCCCAUUUGAGGGGCUCCUGUCAGGGAGGCGGUCAGCUUCCCUGUUACAGGAGCAUUUUCCAUAGCAGAAAAUCUUUUAAGUAUUGACAUGUCUUAUUCUUUAAUUUUAAAAUCAUGGCUUACCAAGCUAAUCUUAUCUAGUACUUCAUUGCUAAUUCGAAGCCUAUCACAGAGGGGGUUACCAUUUUGGUGUGCUUCAUGGUAAUCACUGGAUUACUGCACAAUUCAAAGUACCAUUGGAGAUUAUUUUAGUAUUCUUGCUUCUCUAGCAUGCUCUUAGUAGUCUUCUGGUUACACCUUAUGCUGAGGUAAUCGGUCAUUUAAACACAAUUCAUAUUCAAAUUAUCACAGCUUAUAUUAACAAUCAGAAUAAGAUUUAGUAGUACGAGAUGAAAAUUUACAGAAAUUACUUCAAGUGAAGAAUUGAUCAUAUUACAUUUUUAAUUUGCCUUUUUGCUUCCAAACACGAGUUCAUUCUUAUUUUUCUUUCUAUGCUAACCUCACCCGUUUAAUUCUCUAAUUCAAUAGCUUCCAUCAAUUAGCAAGAACACAUUCCAUUAAAUACCUUAUUAUUUGAGAUACAGGUUUCACACCAGUUCAGGAAAAGCAAUCAAGUGACGGAUUUAUUAACAAAAAUGGGUGCACAAGGGGUAAUGCAGAGAUUUACAUCUUGUGGUGACUUGUUCGGUUGGACCGCAUUGGAGUUCCCUACUUACGUAAGUGAGUUGAUUGGUCUAGAAAAUUUUUAAAUUCGCUAUUUGUAAGGCUAUUUUGUCAUCACGGUAUUCCUCAGCCAUAAGUGAGGAUUGUUUUCAAUAAAAUUAUUGGUUGACUUUAAAAAAAAAAAAAUUCUCAUUAUUUAUUUCCACUCUGAUUGAGUUUACACCCAUCCUACAGAUAGGCAAAGUUUAAGUGGGAUAUCUCAUGGCUUCCGUUUGGGACACUAAGGUAAACCAUGUUUGAACUCUGUUUCAACAUAUAGUUACUAACACAGGUUAUAAUAGAUUUAUUGAGGUAAGCAUUGAUUCUAAAAUAGUAGUGCAUCUGGGAUCUGCCUUUAUGUGAAUCAUGUACUCAAAGAGUCUUCUGAAGUGGGGCAAAAUUUACAACUACAAUCAAAGAGAACUUAAUUCAGAAAUUUGAUCUCAUCAAUCAAUACUCUAAGCCUCGUUUUAACUGCUAAACAUGCAUUGAAAAUAUUGAUGUUAAUGUAGUUUUAUAUUCAAAAAUAAAGAAUAAAUAUGCAUGUAUGACAUAUCUUGCUUGAAGUCUGCUUACAUUAUGGUUUUAAUAUGUAUGCAUUUAAUUCCUCUCGAAAAGGUUACAUCAAUUUUUAACUUAUUGGUUUAGGGUUCAAAAAAUAUAGUGGUUUAGAUAAAUUCAUCUGAAUCAGAUUAAUCUUUUUGCUUUGAUGUUUAAUGGUGAUUUGCUCAUUGUGUUUUAGAUAGUAGAUCAUUGAUACCUAGAAAGGAGCAGGCCCAGCUUUUGAGAGGGGUUACAACUCUGGUACCCGGGUUUCAUAUGGUUUAUAUAGAUAUUCCUUUAAAUAAUAGAGGUUGUUUCGUGUAAGUUUGGGAAGAAAUAUUCUGAUUUGAAUGCAUCAAUGGGAUUCCAUGGUCAAUAUGCUUCGCCAAUUCUUAUGUAAUUUUGACUUUUCUUUUAAUCUUUACAUUCUUUGACAGAU
rnacentral:lncRNA from 1 species